rnacentral:rRNA from 1 species
UACGUAGGGCGCAAGCGUUGUCCGGAAUUAUUGGGCGUAAAGAGCUCGUAGGUGGUUUGUUACGUCUGCUGUGAAAACCUAGGGCUUAACCCUGGGCUUGCAGUGGAUACGGGCAGACUAGAGGUAGGUAGGGGAGAAUGGAAUUCCUGGUGUAGCGGUGAAAUGCGCAGAUAUCAGGAGGAACACCGGUGGCGAAGGCGGGACUCUGGGCCGAUACUGACGCUGAGGAGCGAAAGCGUGGGGAGCAAACAGG